GGAUAACAACUUCCGCUCGGGAAGUUUGUAAAGGUCUGGGCUACCGGCGCGGCGUAGUGGAUGCAGCAUCCUAGUUGAGGACGCCCCGCUGAUCUGCCCUCCUUGGCACUGUGCUUCCCCAGAGGGGUGGCCUCGCUGUUCCCAUGGACAUGGCCCAGGAGCCAGUGACCUUCAGGGACGUGGCCAUCUACUUCUCAAGGGAGGAGUGGGCGUGUCUGGAACCCAGCCAGAGGACCCUCUACCGGGACGUGAUGCUGGACAACUUCAGCAGUGUGGCUGCUCUGGGUGAGCGCGGGCUGAGCGCUGCGUGAGCACAGGGUGAGUGCUGGGAGAGCUCUGCCGCUGCCUCUGGGCCCGGCUCGUCCAGGACAGUAGUGGGGCCUCCCAGCCGAGGGGGCUCAGGAGCUAGAAGUUAUUGGCUUAUGUAGACAGAGGGGCCCACUCAGCGUUUCUCUCGGGCUCCCUGGAGGCAGCCUCAUCUUCCUUCCUCUGACCUUGCCAGGGCCUUCCGUGGGCCUUGGUGUCCAGGCGCCUCCCUUCCUGUCAUCUCUGCUUCGGGG
rnacentral:sRNA from 1 species